AAAAAAAAGGGUUUGAAAAAUGUUACAACACUUUAUGUUUUCCAUCCCAAUAACAAGUCAUCCAUUACAAAAGAUCUAAAGGGACUAAGACUUCAAGUUGAUGAACUAUUUAUGUGGACCCGCGGCCAUUGACAUGCUGCCACGUCACCCUAGUUACUGUUCACGUGAUAAUUAAGCUCAAAUUUGGAUGUUCUAGUUUCUAAUUAUUGAUUCCUAGUUUCCUCUAAUUGACUUGAGAACUAAUUAACAAACUAGUACAUUCCUACUAGCUUGUCAAUUAGUCACUUAAAGUCUUGUGUUCGUGUCAACGUUUGUUUGUGUGCU
rnacentral:lncRNA from 1 species